AAUACAACCCCAUUCUAAAAUUUCAAAUGAUUAAUGUCAAAAUGAAAAAAUUCAAAAUAGUAAAAUAUAUAUAUAGUUUAUUUGAAGGUUUGAGCAAGCUUUUAACAUGUUUUGGGGAAAAAGCUUAGGUGUAGAUGUGUGUGGAGUAUAAUUGAUCGGAGUUCGGAGUUUUGGGUUGGACGGAGAUCGCUUCGUUUAUAGUCGACUACCAUAUCGCUAGCUAUGAGAUUCCAAUUUCUUCAUUAUUUUCCAAGCCCAAAUCAGCAUUUCAAAUUUUCUUUAAAAAAAAAAACCAUCAUUUUUCUCUAAAUUUCAAGGAAAACUAAAGAAACACAAACAAAUUAUCUUACCUCAGUUGGCAGUGAUGGAGUGUCGAAGCUUUCACAACUACAACGACAAAAAUUCGACGGACACAAUUGUUAAGUCUAAGCGUACUAAGAGUUUGUGUAAUGAAUGUGGGUAUGCACUAGGCAGAUUCUUGAGAAGAAGAAGGCCAUUGAUGAUGUGAUUAAAGCUGCUUCUGCCCAUAAGGAUCCUUUAUCAUCUUUCCCUGCUUUUCGGUUUUACAGCAGGCAUGGCAUCUCUCUAUAUUUGGAAUCUGGACGUGGUGAUAAGCUCUCCGCUCCUGUGAAAAAAUACAUCCAAAUCCUUCUCAAGGUCAAUAUGGAAAGACACUAUGGUUCUCAGUGGCCAUCAGAAGAAAAGGUUAAGCGCAGGGAAAUGGUUGCACCUGAAGCACGUUAUAUAUUUGUUUACGAGGUUCCGAAUGCAAGUCAAUGUGAGACAUCACAAACCUCUGAAGGGAAAAGGACUAUAACUAAUUGUGUGGUAGAUAGGGGGGCUAUGGUUGGAUUUGUUCAUUUUCGAUUUGUCAUGGAGGAAGGCAUACCAGUUCUUUAUGUUUAUGAACUGCAGCUAGAAGCUCGUGUGCGAGGCAGGGGACUAGGAAAGUUCUUGAUGCAAUUACUUGAGAAUAUUGCUCAAAAGAGCCACAUGGGUGCUGUGAUGCUGACUGUUCAUAAAUCGAACUCCGGCGCUAUAAAUUUCUACACUAGUGUUUUAAGAUAUCUGUUAUCAAAGACUUCACCGUCGAGAAUUGAGCCAUUGGUGGGAAUUGAGAAAAGUUAUAUAAUCCUUUGCAAAACAUUUAAUCAUGAGGCAGCAAAAGCUAUCUUAGCUGAAGAAAAUGUUUGAAUGAAUUUAGUCUAACCUCGAGGUUUUAGCGCAUCAAGCAUUUUAUAGUGGGGGAUAUCUUUCACAUUUUUUUAUUCUAAGGUACAAGGUGAUAACAGAAAAAAAGGGUUGCUCAUGUGCCAAUUUUUGAACUGAAGAACGAUUUUUAUGUGAACUUAUGUGUGAGUGGAUAUUGUAUGUGUUGUAAAUACUUUUAAACCUAAAAUUAGAUUUCACAUGGUUUUAGUACAAAAUGUUUAUUAAAGGUUAACACUAACACUGUUUAGUUUCACCACUUAACUAGUUAUUAGUCUAGUUUGUUUAGAUGGAGGAUGUUACACCUUGAUAGAGAUUCAUUGCCCUACAGAUCCAGUACAUGUUCCCAUCAACUUACCCAAGCGUUAAACUUGAUUUGCUAGUUAUGCUACUUCCGAACUUCCUUUCAACUAGUUAGGUGAACUUCCUUUCAACUAGUUAUGCAUUGACAUUUCCUUC